UACGGAGGGUGCAAGCGUUAAUCGGAAUUACUGGGCGUAAAGCGCACGCAGGUGGCUGAGUAAGUCGAUUGUGAAAGCCCUGGGCUUAACCUGGGAAUUGCAGUCGAUACUGCUCGGCUAGAGUAUGGGAGAGGGUAGUGGAAUUCCCGGUGUAGCGGUGAAUGCGUAGAUAGUCGGGAGGAACAUCAGUGGCGAAGACGGCUACCUGGCCCAAUACUGACACUCAGGUGCGACAGCGUGGGGAGCAAACAGG
rnacentral:rRNA from 1 species